ensembl:lncRNA
UGGGAUCUAAAGAACAAGUAAGAUUUAAGCAUGCUAUGGGUUUUUUGGUCUGUUUUUCAAGUUUUCUUUGUUUUAUAGUAUUUCUUUACCACUAUAAAUUGUCACUUCUUAGAUAAGCAUUAGCACUUUUAUUAUGGAGCAUGAGGAAUAAAAAUGAACUUUUAACACUUUUGGAUUAUUUGGAGGCUUUAAAAACCUACACGAAUUUUCUACAUAUGGUAGGCAGACAGAAAGACAUUAUAGAUGGAGUGAAAUUUCAAGCCCAAAGUAAUGGGCAUGUUUUUAUGCUGAGUGAGUACAAAUCUUUAGAAUGAAUUUUUAUAAGGUAAUUUUUAAAUGAAGUGUCUAUUGCUAUAGCUGUUUUACUCUUACCUCUUGCCUAACAGAACAGGUCAGAGAGUAGUUCCUUUGAAGUCCCAAACCUACUUACUACCUGCAGAACCAUGACUUGGUACCAGAGAAUUUGGGCAAUAUGGGGUACAUUCCCCAAAUUAGAAUGUAAUAUGUUGGGAUGAUGAGGAGAGGGGCUUUAGUUAAUAGAGUAGAAAAGAGAAUAGGUGAGAUAAUGGUCAAAAGUAAAGCAAAUGAAGAGGGGAAAGUUGAAAAUAAUCAUAGGGAAUAAAGCAGAUCACCAUAAAAAUAAAAAGAGUAAACAAAUAGAUUACAUAAUAUUUUAUUAUCAACUAUUGAAAGAAAGGAUACAGAAAUAGGACAAAAUAAGAAUAGAGUAGAAACUGGAAUCUAAAGAGAGGUAGAGACAGGAUAUGUAACAGGUUAUACUUGAUUAAAAUAGAGAAAUAAAAGAGGAAGUGUUCUAAGAUAAAGUUCCAUUUUUAAUUUUUCCUACUUAUUUGACAAUUUACUUAGUUGAAACUAGAUCUUGAGUGGUUUAAAAAAUAGAAAUGUUGAAUAUUUUUAUCUGUUUCAUUGAAGAAGGAAAAAUUGUAGUCAUCGUAUAAUUAUUUGAUGUUUUGGAGAUUUUUGCUUUAUGCGCAAUUCAAGCCAUGUUCAAAUGAAGAAAAUGUUUCUUGAUUUGUAUCAAGUUUUCCUUGAGUGUUCUAACCCUGCUCUACUCUUGAAAUCACUUGACUUUGAAAAAAGGGAAAAUCAUGCAUUUAGAAAGGUUAAAUAAGUCAUUAUAAUGUCUUUCUCAUCUACAGAAAGCAUGUGUUAACCAAUAUAAAUUUACAGUCAGAACAGUUCAAAUUGCUCCUGCAUUCAGGAAGGCAAAGCCCUAAAUUGAGCCUGUUGUUAUUGUGGAAAAGGCCGCAGGUUCCAUCCCUGGCCUUACUAAGUGGGUUAAGGAUCCUGCAUUGCUGUAAGCUGUGUUGUAGGUCGCAAACAUGGCUCGGAUCCCAUGUUGCUAUGGCUAUGGUGUAGACCAGAGGCUACAGCUCCAACUCAACCCCUAGCCUGGGAACCUCCAUAUGCCACAGGUGUGGCCCUAAAAAAAAAAAAGAGAAAACAAAACAAACAAACAAACAAAUGCUGAUGCCGAUCUCAAUUGUAAUGUACAGAUUUACAAAGGAAUUUUAUAGGAGUUCCUGCCCUGGAGCAGCGGAAACGAAUCUGACUAGGAACCCUGAGGUUGCGGGUUCAAUCCCUGGCCUUGCUUAUUGGGUUAAGGAUCUGGUAUUGCCGUGAGCAGUGGUGUGUCUAUGUCUCAGACAAGGCUCAGAUCCUGCAUUGCUGUGGCUGUGAUGUAGGCCAGUGGCUGUAGCUCUGAUUGGAUCUCCACAUGCCUCUGGUGAGGCCCUAAAAAAAGACAAAGAUAAAAAUAAAUAAAUAAAUUUUAAAAAAGAAAGGAAUCUUGUAGAAGUGACAUUUUUUUUAUUCCAAAGCGUAAAUCAUAAAGAUUCAGCCAGGUAACUUCCCUUUUAAAGGUAAAUAAGUGAAAAUUCAUUUUUAGCAGCAUUUUCACCUUUUAAUUGGGAAGUGUGGCUUUAAGUUUAUGGUUAUUGCUUUUUAUUGCUUUUGGGGGGCUAUUAUGAGUUAAUUGUUUAUCAUCACAAUAAAAGGUCUCUUUUUUUCCUAAAAGUUGAAAUAUCUUGGGGAAAAGAUUUUGGUUACUUAUGGUCUAUUAUGUAUAAAGCUAUCAUUAAUAGUCAAGCAUCCAUUAUUUUUCCUAACUAUAGAGCUGAGUUUAAUGACCAUGGUGUAGAAAGAGCCUGUUGAUGCUGACGCCAAAAUACUAGGUAAAAUCCCAACAUCUUCACUGAGAGCCACUUAGUCACUCUGGGCUUCCAUGAUUUCAUGUUCAAAACAAAGAUAACACUGCCUACUUAGAGGAUGGCUCUGGCAUUUGAACAGCCUAUCAACCUGAAAUUAUUUGGGUCUUGCCCAAUAUUACUAGAUGACAUAAAUGGUGACGCUUGGCUUGGUCAGGAACCUCGAUCACUAGAGGUUCCUAUCCAAAAUCCCACAAGUCAAACAAAUGAUUUCGUAGAGAUUAAAUUGCAGGUGUUUGUACUUGUCAUUCAACUUUAUCAUUAAAAAAGUUAUUUGGGGGGGUAAAUCAACCUUUAUUUAAAAAUCUUUAUUCAUCAUCUUCAUGGCUCUGUAUCUAGAGUGCAAGAAAAUCCUUCAGCAUCAUCAAAAUCUUUACCUGCUUUCCAGUGCUUUGCAUUCCUCAGUGGAAAAAAAUCUAGGAUUCUCUCCCCUAUUUCAGUAGUGCUACGCUAGGUGGUUUUACAAACAUCUCCUCACAUAAUCUUCACAUCUGUCAGGUAAAGUAGAUAUGAAUGUCUGCUUUUCUAGGCAGUUCUCAGAAAUGCCAAAUAAUGUGACCAAGGUCACCCAGCUAGAAAAGGGAAGGAACUGGAAUUGGGACUCAGAACUCUUCCCACAGCUUAUGUUUCUUACAAAACACCUUCCUAUUUUCUUUAGUGAAAUGCAAUAUUUUCAAUACAAAUAUUUGUAGAAGUAUUAUCACAGUAUAAGUGGUAAGACAGCCUCACUGACUCAGGAUUGUACCUGGGACAAGCUCUAUGGGGAGGCAUUAGUAAGCAUUAAAAAAAUUCUUCCUACUCAGCUAAUCGACAGCAGGGUCAACCUCAAGUCCUCCUGCAGGUGUCUUUAAGAUUCAAUUCAUCUACAUUUCUCUUUUAGCAGAGAGAAGUCCUAGGUCCUCUAUUUCUUUCUAAUUAUAGGCAUUUCUCUUCCUAAUAAAACCCCCAAAAUUCUCUUUUCUGCCCCUGCUUUUCUGCUGCUGGUUUGAAUUCUGUGGUUCAUCUGGGUUGGUCCAAGUCUACUUGCUAAAAACAGGGAAGAGAAUAAUUAUAUCCAAAUGCACAUUGAACAGUCCCUUUGAGACACUGGCCUUUUGAAUUUCUUUAAGAAAAAAAAAACUUAGAAAAAAUAAAAUUGAAGCUGCUGCAUGAGUAGUUAAUUUUAAAAAUAGUUGUUUCUAAUUAAUUCAUUAAAAUAAACCUAUUUUAUGCUCUUGUUAGACGUCACCCUAGACUAUAAAACAAAAUCAGCAAAUGAUUCUCUUUUACUCCUUCACACACACACACACACACACACACACACACCCUCACAUGCACAGAUAUACUUACACACAUGUAUGCACAUACCAUAAAAUGAUUUUCCCCUUUUCAAUGAAAUAUUCUAUAUUCUAUAUUUUUUAGACUACAUAAUAUUGAAAAAGAGAUUUUUGGAGAAAAGUUGAAAUGAUUGAGCCUUAAAUGUGUUAUGGCAUUUUUAAACUUUGAAUAAUCUCAGCCUAUCUAAACACAGCAUUUUAAGUAGUCAUCAUCUUGUUUCAUAAAUGAGGGGUUGACUAUGUUUAGAAAUAUGCUUUCAUUGUGCUGAUACCACAGAUCAGAUUUCUCUUUCCUCAGAUUGUCUGCAGUGUAAACAUGCUGCUUGAUAAAGAUGACAGUGAAGUUAACUUGAUUGCUAGGCAACUGUAUUGUUAUUGCCAUAGAUAAACACACUUAUUUCCUCUUUGGUGUUUUCCUGGUAAGGAAUUUCUAGACAAGCCUAAUGCUUUCUUUCGGAUUGAUUAUUCAUUUUAAGUAAUUGCGUAGGUAUCCUUUAUUCUUUGGGACUUAAUGCAUGGAAGAGUUCAGAAGGAAAUGUGAGCUCUCAGAUGGUGUUUUUCAAAGCAUGAUUAGAAACAGGGAUGUUAUCAAUGAGAAACAUUUGGAGUCUUGUACACGAGAAGGAAUAUAAAUUGUACAACAUAAGCAUGUUUCCAUCCAGACUGUGAAAACUAAGUGUUAUCUUGGAAUCAUGGGGGUGUUUUAUUUACAAUGUCAACUUCAUUCAUGAAACUCAAAUAAAUGCUUCCAGAAUGAAAUGGAGUAAUAGCAGUGGACCAAAGGGUUGUUUAUUUUACAUGGCUACCUCUGUACUUGCAAGCAGAGUUAUUGUCCCCCUGUGAGUCUUACAUAGAGCUUAUAAUUUACUUGCUAUAGAUAAAUGUUCAUUAUCUUCAACAACUACUGAUUAUAAGGAUCAGAAGGCAUCAAGAGGGCAAAAGUGCAGCAGCCAAGAGGAGUUCAAGGGCAAGGCCAGGGUGAUGCUGCUUAAACUACAAGCUGCCCCUAACUAGGAUCCAUGUUAUCCAGGAACCCUGGCUUGCCCAUUGACACUUUUGUACCACUAGAGUAACUUCAGUGCCCUUUUGUGAAAGGAAGGAAGCUUUGAAUUAGUGGGACCAGAGUAAUAAAACUAAUGCUGACAACGACAUCUUCAGCACCACUAUGAAAGAACACAGUAGAUGCCUCCCAGUGCCUCUUACACCCAGGUAUUCCCUGAAUUUUGAUAUCAGUUUGGCUGCCUAGCUCAGGGCAGAGUCGGUCCUGUCUGCAGUGCCCAUAUAUUUGUAACCCUGCAAGAGUGCC